rnacentral:lncRNA from 1 species
AUACAGAGUGUGUUUGGUUCUCUUCUCUGUCAAGCCUGGCUAGAAAAACAAACCAGGCCAAUCCAAGCCUUCACUAUCUCAAAUACAGUCACCUCCUCCAUGUUUCGGUAACAUUAUCCCUUUUAGGCAUUGUGUCGAACAGUUGGUUGGCGAGAGAAGAAGAAGACAGUGGAGGAGCUCGCACAAGGUCGGCAUGGCUCUAUUAGUUGAUCACUGGUGUGUUUGAUUUCUGGUCCAAAGGCCUGACCGAGCCGCUAGGCUGCAAUCGGCCUUAUUUGAUUUGUUGGGCCCACAAACAAGGCAAGCCCGCCAUGUGCAAAAACACCUCUUCUCAUCUGGUUCCUAGCAAUACUAAAAAAAUUGUAAACAAUCUUGCGGCUCGCGAUUUUGUCGAGUCUAUGUUUAUUAAUGACAGGCCAUGAGGGCCAAAGUGAACUUAAAAAAACUUUUUUGGAGAUAGGUGAAAUGGGUUAACCGAAGUGGGCAUCACAACUGCCUCGAUCUUAAGGUCUUGGUAAAUUGAUCUUUCUCAAGGUGGUUCAAAUGUCUCAGUAAAUUAAAUAAAAACAAAAAAAAAUCCUACACAGGCCUAGAUCUAGGCUUCACACUGCCGCCAUCGAUCCGCUCACUAUGACACCGUCGCCGCUAAUCCGCUGCCCCAAGCGCCGUGAGCACCGCCAGGAGGAGGGAGCCGGGGCGUGCGAGCACCAGCGGGAAGAGGAGGGCUAGGGGUCGUGUGCCACGCCAAAGGAGAGGGAGGAGGGGGCCAGGAGACACAUCGUUGCCCAAAUCUAGACCCGUGAGUGUCGUUGGGUGGAGGGAGCUGGGCCCCAUUGAAGGGUCCUAAUGGCUAGAGGGGGUGAAUAGCCUAAUAAAAAUUCUAGAACAACACUAAAGCAACUUGAUUAGGCAAAAGGAUGACGAAGCGAAUGUUGCACUAGUCUACUAAAAGAGCAAGCUACCUACUAACAAUUCUAGUAGUUAUGAUCUCUAAGCACCUCAAGGCUAAGUCACUACUUUCUACACUAGAGAAGCUAGCUAGAACUAAGAAUAGCUGAGCUAAAGAACUAGCUACAUCUACUACUAGAGCUACACAAACAAACUACAACAAAGGAUAGAAGGGUUAUUGCUCCUCGUAGUGGAAGGAGCAAAGCAAUCACAAGAUAGAAUGCCAAAGAAUACCAAUCACCUCAAAAUAAAAUAAUUGACACAAUGAUUUUUUUAUCGAGGUUCACUUGCUUGCCAGCAAACUAGUCCUCAUUGUGGCAAUUCACUCACUUGGAGGUCUAUGGUCUUAAUGGCCUCACACACCAACCC